AUUGAACGCUGGCGGCAGGCCUAACACAUGCAAGUCGAGCGGAGCGGCGGACGGGUGAGUACUGCCUAGGAAUCUGCCUGUUGGUGGGGGAUCCCUUCCGGAAACGGGCGCUUAUACCGCAUACUAUCACAUGAGCCUAGGUCGGAUUAGCUAGUUGGUGGGGUAAAGGCCUACAAAGGCGACGAUCCGUAACUGGUCUGAGAGGAUGAUCAGUCACACUGGAACUGAGACAGGGUCCAGACUCCUACGGGAGGCAGCAGUGGGGAAUAUUGGAUAAUGGGCGAAAGCCUGAUCCAGCCAUGAAGCGGGGGUGAAGAAAGUCUUCGGAUUGUAAAGAACUUUAAAUUGAGAGGCGAAGCCAAAAGGAUAAGCACCGGCGAACUUCGUGCCAGCAGCCGCGGUAAUAC
rnacentral:rRNA from 1 species